rnacentral:rRNA from 1 species
UAAUACGGAGGGAGCUAGCGUUGUUCGGAUUUACUGGGCGUAAAGGGCGCGUAGGCGGUUUGGCAAGUCAGAUGUGAAAACCACCGGCUCAACCGGGCGGAUUGCAUUUGAUACUGCCAAACUUGAGUUCAGGAGAGGGGAGUGGAAUUCCCAGUGUAGCGGUGGAAUGCGUAGAUAUUGGGAAGAACACCAGUGGCGAAGGCGGCUCCCUGGACUGAUACUGACGCUGAGGCGCGAAAGCUAGGGGAGCAAACAGGAUUAGAUACCCUGGUAGUCCUAGCCGUAAACGAUGGGUACUAGGUGUUGGGGGUUUCCAUACCACCAGUGCCGCAGCUAACGCAUUAAGUACCCCGCCUGGGGAGUACGACCGCAAGGUUG